rnacentral:misc_RNA from 1 species
GAUGAAGAACGUAGCGAAAUGCGAUAAGUAAUGUGAAUUGCAGAAUUCAGUGAAUCAUCGAAUCUUUGAACGCACAUUGCGCCCCCUGGAAUUCCGGGGGGCAGGCCUGUUCGAGCGUCUCAGGGACGAACCCUCGCGCGGGUGUACGCGCGGUCGUGGCUGCGGUGGCGUGCCCGAGGCGGCGGCCACCGCGCUGGAAUCCAUGGGCGGACGCCUGCCGCGUGGCCGAGCGUGAUAUGACGCAUUGGCGCUCGCACGCGGAGAGGCUGCCAGCCCUGGCCCGUCUGUCGGGCGGGGGAGAGCAAGACACGUGAACUCCUCGAAUCAGGUAGGGAUACCCGCUGAACUUAAGCAUAUCAAAAGCGGAGGA